UACGUAGGGGGCAAGCGUUGUCCGGAUUUAUUGGGCGUAAAGCGCGUGUAGGCGGCCAGAUAGGUCUGGUGUGAAAACUCGAGGCUCAACCUCGAGAGGUCACUGGAAACCAUUUGGCUAGAGUCCGGAAGAGGAGAGUGGAAUUCCUGGUGUAGCGGUGAAAUGCGCAGAUAUCAGGAAGAACACCCAUGGCGAAGGCAGCUCUCUGGGACGGUACUGACGCUGAGACGCGAAAGCGUGGGGAGCAAACAGGAUUAGAUACCCUGGUAGUCCACGCCGUAAACGAUGGGUGCUAGGUGUGGGGGGUGUCGACUCCCUCCGUGCCGAAGCUAACGCAUUAAGCACCCCGCCUGGGGAGUACGGCCGCAAGGCUAAA
rnacentral:rRNA from 1 species